rnacentral:rRNA from 1 species
UACGUAGGGGGCAAGCGUUGUCCGGAUUUAUUGGGCGUAAAGAGCGUGUAGGCGGUUUGGUAGGUCCGUUGUGAAAACUCGAGGCUCAACCUCGAGACGCCGAUGGAAACCAUCAGACUAGAGUCCGGAAGAGGAGAGUGGAAUUCCUGGUGUAGCGGUGAAAUGCGCAGAUAUCAGGAAGAACACCCGUGGCUAAGGCGGCUCUCUAGUACGGUACUGACGCUGAGACGCAAAAGCGUGGGGAGCGAACAGG